rnacentral:rRNA from 1 species
GACGAACGCUGGCGGCGCGCUUAACACAUGCAAGUCGAACGGAAAGGCCUGCUUUCCCUUGUGGAUUGCGGGUACUCGAGUGGCGAACGGGUGAGUAACAUGUGAGUGAUCUGCCCCCAACUUGGGUAUAAGCCUGGGAAACUGGGUCUAAUUCCCGAUAGGACUGCAGGGUGGUGCCUGUGGUGGAAAACGAUUUUCUAGUGGUUGGGGAUGAGCUCGCGGCCUAUCAGCUUGUUGGUGGGGUAAUGGCCUACCAAGGCGGCGACGGGUAGCCGGCCUGAGAGGGUGGACGGCCACAUUGGGACUGAGAUACGGCCCAGACUCCUACGGGAGGCAGCAGUGGGGAAUAUUGCACAAUGGGCGGAAGCCUGAUGCAGCGACGCCGCGUGGGGGAUGACGGCCUUCGGGUUGUAAACUCCUUUCGACCGCGAGGAAGCCACCUGGUUGGAUGGGUGGUGACGGUAGUGGUAGAAGAAGCACCGGCUAACUACGUG